AGUUGAUCAUGGCUCAGGAUGAACGCUGGCGGCGUGCCUAAUACAUGCAAGUCGAACGAGGUAGCAAUACCGAGUGGCGAACGGGUGAGUAACACGUAGGUAACCUGCCCUUAAGCUUGGGAUACCCAGAGGAAACUUGGCUAAUACCGGAUAACAACAGAGAAGGCAUCUCUUUGCUUGAAAGGCCCCUCCAAGGGUCACUUAAGGAUGGACCUGCGGCGCAUUAGCUAGUUGGUGAGAUAACAGCCCACCAAGGCGAGGAUGCGUAGCCGAACUGAGAGGUUGAUCGGCCACAUUGGAACUGAGACACGGUCCAAACUCCUACGGGAGGCAGCAGUAAGGAGUUUUCGGCAAUGGGGGAAACCCUGACCGAGCAACGCCGCGUGAGCGAUGACGGCCCUAUGGGUUGUAAAGCCUCUGCUGUAAGCCAUGAAUGACAGCUUGAGGAAAUGCAAGUUGUUUGACGACAGCUUACCAGAAAGCCACGGCUAACUACGUGCCAGCAGCUGC
rnacentral:rRNA from 1 species